CCUUUCCUGUACAAGUCUUAGAUAACCUACAAAAAGGAGAGUUGAAGUCUGUAUUUCUUCCAAGAGGGACCAAAGGACCAAACUGGAGGAAAAGCAACAACCUUAAAUGACCUUUUACUUAGAAGAAAGGUUAUCAAACCAAAAGGAACUAACCUCCUGCUGGGGCUGAGAUCAUGUCAGUGAAUUGGCACAAUGAAAAUAUCAUUGCAAAAUAAAAGAAGACUGAUUUCGGUUAUCUAGAGUUGUGAGAGAAACCUCUGUGAAGACAGCAAUAAUCCUCCUACAGAGCUGGACCAGGACCAUCUUGGAUAAUCAUCCCUCCUCCACCACUAGAGUCUGGAUGAAGGGUCUGGAUGAAGCAGAGGGUCAGCAUCUCUCCCUGGUGAAGGAAUUCAGCCAGAAUGUGGAGGUGUGCCUGAGGGGUGCUUGGCCACUGGAGAGACCAGUGCCAAGGGCAGGGAACUGCAGUACAGAUAUGUCCAACUGGCAGCAAGCAGACUGGCAACACCUUCAGCUUCUGGUUAAUAGUUUUAGCCAGGAGCAGCCCCAGGGUGAAUGACACCACUUGAGCAUCCUCCCUCUGCUUCAUCAGCUACUCCCAGCUACAGAACAGGGCAUGGUCCUUUGGGUUUCUUCCCCUCUUUCUAACUUCUAACCACACACCUGCUUUUAAAAUGUCAUAGUACCAUAACAAGCCCUCACUCACUUGUUCUCUCCUUUCCCUUUCUUCUCCACCCAUUCCCUUCACUUUUCUUCUUCUUGCCUUCCUGCACUCUUUCUGCUCAUCUUAGGUAUAUAAUGCAUGUGCCCAGAAAGGUUGCAGUUUUAGAAACAAGUGUGCAAAUUGUGCAUCUGUCCAAAUAGACAUGUAUGAAUCAAGGAUAUUUAGUAUUUAUUAGUAUAAAAUAUCACAGUUCAAUAAAAAUACAAAUAAACAGUUAAAGAAGAAAGGCAAGAAAACAAGCAUACAGAAGGAGAGCAAGAGACCACAGUAAAGGAAAGCAGAGCAGAAAGAUAACAGGGAAGCAUUGUCUUGCAAAUGUGCUUCUGAAAGGAGUCCUGAAGUUUUCUGUUCUCUUUGUCAAUGAGAUAAGUGGAGACAGAUCUAACUAGAAAGUGUACCAUUUCCUCACCUAUUAUUUUUUGUCUGCCAGAAAUGUACAAGGAAUUUACUUAGUUGGCUGUGAGUUUUAAAUCUCUUGGCUGAGACAACAGGAAUCACAGUUGCAUCGCAGAUUGGAUGAUAUGUGUUCCUGAUCACUGGUAUGAAACACAAUGCUGGAGAGUGAUUACUGUCAGUAACUGCAUUACUCUUUUGUGACAAAAAGCCUGAGGUCUGGAACUUUUCUGAGACACAUGUAGAGCUUGACCACUCUGUGAGCAAGAGAACCAAUUUUCUAGUUGUAUUUUGCAAUGCAGAAGGAGUCAGACACUCUUAUUUCUCCUUAAAGGGAUAGCAUUUGAUUGAAAAAAGAUUUUAAGUAUGUCAUCUUUAAUAGGAUUGGCAAAUAGAUUUUAAAAAUAUCAUAUACCGUGCAACUGUAUGUUAUUCUUGGCUAAGUUAGUUUAUGAUUUACAUCAAAAUAUUAUGAUAGAUAUUUUAUGAGGUGACAACACAUAUUGUUUUUCAUUAUACUGUAUGUAAAGAGUGCAAAGAGUGGCAAACAUAAGAAUAAUACAGCUUUAUAAUAUAUUCCUAGUUUUAAUAAUUUCUGCAUAACAGUCAUGCUUAUAGAGCAUCCUUCCCCAAAAAAACUCCUCAACGAUCCAAAAGUAUUAAAAACACACUCUACCAAGCCAAAUUGUGUGCUGUGGGGUAUUGUCUGAGCCCUUCCCAAACACAUCCAUGAACGAUCAGAGCAAGGAGUCCACCACUGGAUCAGGAAACGCAUGCACAUAAAUAUGCAGACCAUGUCCUUUGGUCUCGCUGGCACUGCUGUCAGUCAUGCCUGCUGCACAGCCUACAGAGAUGCUUUUCCAUUGCUUUCUAGACAAGGAAUUGAACAGGCACCUUUCUCCAUACAGCACAGAAAACAGUCUCUCAGGCAGCAGCUUUGCUGAGGCACAGCCAGAGACAAUUACUCUGACUUCAGCUGGAGGGACGAUGCAGAAGCGCAACCACCUGUUAGUAAAUCUCAGAAACUCCAUGCAAUAACAGGCUAAAUAUCU